rnacentral:rRNA from 1 species
AAAUUGAAGAGUUUGAUCAUGGCUCAGAUUGAACGCUGGCGGCAGGCCUAACACAUGCAAGUCGAACGGUAACAGAAAGCAGCUUGCUGCUUUGCUGACGAGUGGCGGACGGGUGAGUAAUGUCUGGGAAACUGCCUGAUGGAGGGGGAUAACUA